AUUAGGUUUAACCCAGAAGAAUUUAGCUAAACAGUUUGAUUUCCCUAUACCUUUGAAUGAAGCUUCGAAAGUAAUGAAGAAAAAGAAAAAGGUUCGCGUAUGGAAUAAAGUAUACAAAGUCAUUUCUAGAAUGCUUGAAGAAAAUGAAAAAUACAGACUCAGGCUGAAAUACCAACAACUAUCCAGUGAAAGCAAGUUAACACAGUUGAUUGUAUGAAAGAAGACUGGCUUUCCUAACAGACUCAGAUUACACAAGAUGCAUCUUCUUAUCAUCUUCUGGAUUAACCUAUCUUUGGAUCCGUUUACCAAAGAAGAUUGUGAAGAGUUUAAAGAUGGAACUUUAAAUUGAAUCAUAAUUAUAUGUUAAUUUUGGUGUGUUUUGUUGGUAUUGGGACUUUAAUAUUUGAAUAGAAAAACUACCUUCUUUAUAAAUUAAUAGUAUUUCUUUACAAAUUAAAUAUGGUUGUAUGCACACAAGUGUUAUGCAAGUGUUUUUCAAGUGGGAAUUAGUACUUAUUCUGUAUUCCUUUAAAUUAAUCUUAUACAUAAAAUUUAAAUUGACAUAGCAAUACACUCACAGGCAUUUAUAUUUACCAAUGUUUCCCUUUAAUGAAUGUGUCUGCAAACCACCACUUUAUUCAUCCCUCAUUAUGAUAUAACUGCUUUAAAUUAAACUUCGAUUCAUUUAAA